rnacentral:rRNA from 1 species
AGCAGCCGCGGUAAUUCCAGCUCCAAUAGCGUAUAUUAAAGUUGUUGCAGUUAAAAAGCUCGUAGUUGAAUUUCGGGAUUUGUCCAUUGGUCGGGCCUCAGGUCCGCACUGGUGUGAUGGGUUCCUACCUUCUGAAUAACCAGCAUGCCAUUUAGUUGGUGCGCCGGGGAAGCAGAGCUAUUACCUUGAAAAAAUUAGAGUGCUUAAAGCAGGCUAUUGCUUGAAUAGAUUAGCAUGGAAUAAUAAAAUAGGACGGCAUGGUUCUAUUUUGUUGGUUUCUAGGAUCACCGUAAUGAUUAAUAGGGAUAGUUGGGGGCAUUAGUAUUCAAUUGUCAGAGGUGAAAUUCUUGGAUUUAG